GUGGGGAAUUUUCCGCAAUGGGCGAAAGCCUGACGGAGUGACGCCGCGUGUGGGACGAAGGCCUUCGGGUCGUAAACCACUGUCAGUGGGAAAGAAGGGUGCCGGCGCUAAUACCGCCGGUAUUUGACGGUACCUGCAGAGGAAGCCCCGGCCAACUCUGUGCCAGCAGCCGCGGUAAGACAGAGGGGGCAAGCGUUGCUCGGAAUUACUGGGCGUAAAGGGCGUGUAGGCGGGAUGGCAAGUCGGUCGUGAAAUCCUUCGGCUCAACCGAAGAACGUCGAUCGAUACUGCUGUUCUUGAGGGUUGCAGAGGAGACUGGAAUUCCCGGUGUAGCGGUGAAAUGUGUAGAGAUCGGGAGGAACACCGGUGGCGAAGGCGGGUCUCUGGGCAAUUCCUGACGCUGAGGCGCGAAAGCGUGGGGAGCAAACGGGAUUAGAAACCCUUGUAGUCC
rnacentral:rRNA from 1 species